CAAAAGUUGUGUCAUUUUCUUUAAGGAAAAAAAAAUUGAGGAAAGAAAAAAAUGGAAAGCCCAAAUAAAGGAAGGAAAAUGGGUUCUUCUAACAGUGACCGAAAGCUACCCACGAUCAAGAUUCACCUCCCAACCUCCCCUCAUCACUCGACCUCCGCCGCUUCCUCCCCCAGCCCCGUCGCCGGAGCUCGUCGUAAGAUUGGCGUAGCAGUGGAUCUCUCCGAAGAGUCCGCCUACGCCGUUCGCUGGGCUGUUCAAAACUACCUCCGACCAGGCGAUGCUGUCAUCCUCCUCCACGUGUCUCCAACCAAUGUACUCUAUGGAGCUGAUUGGGGCCCACUUUCCCAGGCCCAACAAAGCCCACGAACGCCAGAGACCCAGAAGCAACUGGAGGACGACUUCGAUGCCUUCACGGCUUCAAAGGCAGCGGAUUUGGCCAAACCCUUAAAGGAAGCUGGGUUUCCCUUCAAGAUUCAUAUUGCGAAAGAUCAUGAUAUGAGGGAAAGGUUGUGUCUUGAGCUGGAGAGGUUAGGGUUGAGUGCUGUUAUAAUGGGGAGUAGAGGGUGUGGAGCUGAGAAAAGAGGGAAUGAUGGGAGGUUGGGGAGCGUUACUGAUUAUUGUGUGCAUCACUGUGUUUGUCCUGUUAUUGUUGUUAGGCAUCCUGAUGAGAAAGAUGGCGGGAAUGGUCAGCCUGUGGUGACAGAUAAGGAGGCCAGGGUGGAGGAAAAAGGUGGCAAAUGUUAAUCCUAUUGAUGCCUAGCAAGUCCGGUAAUUGCAGCUUUAUCCCAUCAGUAGCAGCUUUUCUUAUGUUGUAGAUAGCAAAGAAGACUAUGAGUCGCUCAGGAUUAGCUCGGAUGAAGGAUUCAGUUAAAAUGGAUCCUGGGAUUCUCUUUUUCUACUUUCAUCCCCGCAUUGUUUAACUUUUUAUUGGUGAUGUUAUCGUAUGAUUGAUGAGGUUCUUGAUUUCCUUUUAUGGCACUCGGGAUCAUGAUUUACUACACCGUGAUGAUAUACUAUAAGAUAAUCCCGGUGUCGACUUUUUCUUUUGGUUUUAUGAAUGUUUGAUUUGAUGCCAUAGUGCAGGACGGAAACAUGAAAAAAUAUUUCAUGAACUUCACCUUGAAUUCAAGGGCAAUUUUUUUAUGUAUAAA